AACGAACGCUGGCGGCAUGCCUAACACAUGCAAGUCGAACGAGAGCUUCGGCUCUAGUGGCGCACGGGUGCGUAACGCGUGGGAAUCUGCCCUUGGGUUCGGAAUAACAGUUGGAAACGACUGCUAAUACCGGAUGAAGUCGAUAAGACCAAAGAUUUAUCGCCCGAGGAUGAGCCCGCGUCGGAUUAGCUAGUUGGUGGGGUAAAGGCCUACCAAGGCGACGAUCCGUAGCUGGUCUGAGAGGAUGAUCAGCCACACUGGGACUGAGACACGGCCCAGACUCCUACGGGAGGCAGCAGUGGGGAAUAUUGGACAAUGGGCGCAAGCCUGAUCCAGCAAUGCCGCGUGAGUGAUGAAGGCCUUAGGGUUGUAAAGCUCUUUUACCCGGGAAGAUAAUGACUGUACCGGGAGAAUAAGCCCCGGCUAACUCCGUGCCAGCAGCCGCGGUAA
rnacentral:rRNA from 1 species